GUGGACACGGCGUCUUAGAAUUAUUAAUUUUUUGUGUUUAUAAUCGCGAAAAUAGGCGAUUUCGUUUUGUUUUUGCGACGCUCGCCACCUCUUGUCAGUUGCUUUAGAUGUGGAACAGCAGUUGGUUGUGGUCAAGUAGGUUUUAGCGUCAGCUCUUGUAGGCGCUCGUCGAUCUGGAUUUUGAGAGUAGCAGGAAGGAUGGAUUUUGCAGCUCCGCGCUGGGUGCCCUGGUCAGCAGCUUUUGUGGCCCGUCUUUUGCAGCGCUGCAUUGCAGGUACCCCUGCCAGAAGGACAGGAGCGCCGAGUCGUUGGAAUCGUCAGGAGUCAUCACGGGCAGGCGCCUGUAGUGUGUUGGCUGUGAUUUGUUGUGGCCGCUGGAGGAGCGCCGCUUGCAACGAGCUCGUCCCGGUCGGUGUUGCAAGCAGUUGCAUAAGUUUUGAAGAAGCUAGAAUCCCGCGCAGCCGUCAUUGGGAUGUAAUGGAGCUGCUGUCAACAUGGUGGUGGAAACGAAGGUUGCACGGUGCGCCGCGUCCUGUGGCCAUUGCGUCGGGACUGGCAGCUAGGAGCUUCCAGAUCAGGAAAAGUUGCCGAGGACCGCCGCAUCGGAAGAGGUCAUGGUGUUUCAGGAUGUUCCGGGUCAAGGAUUGUUGUCGGGGACCGUAGCAGCGAUUUGGGCCAUGGAAAUGAAUGUAAAGAUAAAUUUUAGGGGCCCAGGCUGAACGAUAUUUGGAGGUGUGUUUUUUUUUUUUUUAGGUAGGCUGUUCUGAAGGUGCGUUUGUAGCAGCUAAUUUAGAGGCCGUCGUAGCUGUGAUGCCGUGGUUUUUGGGUUCUUCAAGCUUGCGAUUAAUAUGGAGGUGA